rnacentral:rRNA from 1 species
GCAUAAUCAUUUGCCUCUUAAUUAGAGGCUGGUAUGAAAGGGCAAACGAAGGUGUUACUGUCUCCUUUUUACCCCCAUAAAUUUAUCCCCAGGUGAAGACGCCUGGAUCCCUUGAAAAGACAAGAAGACCCCGUCGAGCUUUAUCUUACUGUAGAACCCCAUCAAUUCCUUAAAAUGAGUCCCUCUACAAACAAAUUUUGUUGGGGCAACAAUGGAAGAUUUAAUAUUCCAGCAAAAAAUAGACCCCAAGUCAUCCCAGAGAUCCCUCACAGAUCCAAGGAACAAGCUACCGCAGGGAUAACAGACUAAUUCCCCGCACGAGCCCGAAUCAACCGGGGAGUUUGG